rnacentral:rRNA from 1 species
UACGGGGGGGGCAAGCGUUGUUCGGAAUUACUGGGCGUAAAGGGCUCGUAGGCGGCCAACUAAGUCGGACGUGAAAUCCCUCGGCUUAACCGGGGAACUGCGUCCGAUACUGGAUGGCUCGAGUUCGGGAGAGGGAUGCGGAAUUCCAGGUGUAGCGGUGAAAUGCGUAGAUAUCUGGAGGAACACCGGUGGCGAAGGCGGCAUCCUGGACCGACACUGACGCUGAGGAGCGAAAGCCAGGGGAGCAAACGGG